rnacentral:rRNA from 1 species
GACGAACGCUGGCGGCGUGCUUAACACAUGCAAGUCGAACGGUGAAGCGCCUUCCUUUUUGGUGGGUGUGGAUGAGUGGCGAACGGGUGAGUAACACGUGAGUAACCUGCCCCCUUCUUCUGGAUAACCGCAUGAAAGUGUGGCUAAUACGGGAUAUUCUGGGUCUGUCGCAUGAUGGGUCUGGGAAAGAUAUGGUGUCGGUGGGGGAUGGGCUCGCGGCCUAUCAGCUUGUUGGUGGGGUGAUGGCCUACCAAGGCGGUGACGGGUAGCCGGCCUGAGAGGGUGGACGGUCACACUGGGACUGCGACACGGACCAGACUCCUACGGGAGGCAGCAGUGGGGAAUAUUGCACAAUGGGCGCAAGCCUGAUGCAGCGACGCCGCGGGAGGGAUGGAGGCCUUCGGGUUGUGAACCUCUUUCGCCAGUGAAGCAGGCCUGCCUCGUUUGCGGGUGGGUUGACGGUAGCUGGAUAAGAAGCGCCGGCUAACUACGUG